UACACCCUGCUGCUUGCGAAGUCUCAGGUUCCACCUAAGAUACGCCUAAACGCAAUCUGUUGAUAUGCUACAGGCAUAGCAAGAGCGGGGUUUU
rnacentral:ncRNA from 1 species